UUUGCUAAGCUGCUUUCACCUUGGACGUCCAGUGGCAGUGCUAUGACUGAUGUCAUUUUUUUUUUUUUUUUAGUUGUCACUUUUACAUCAGAAACGCAAGAGACAUGUGUGUGCAUCACGUGUUGAUUUUGCUUCCCGAAACUAUAGGUGAGGGCGUGAUAGAAACGGCACAGUAACCUCCCCUUGCUGCGUCCUUCACUGCGCCCAGCCUCCAAAUCACGUGAAAAGCGCAUAGUUACGGUGACUUCUGAAGUGUUAAUAGAAUGUGCACCGAUUGCCCUUGAGUGUGAAGGGUUACAUAAGGAGGCCCAGUAUGAAGGUAAAUAAGAGUAACAUUUACUCUACUCACUUGGCUUGAGGAGACUGAAUGAAUUACUGGGCGAGAAGAGGCUGUAGGCGCGUCCCUUGAUCCCACACUUUUCCUCCUGGGGAAGGUACACCACCGAGCCAUCCUUAGUGACUGCCGUGGCCAUGCCAGCGGCUCGGUGAUGGCGCGGGUGCCACUGUUCCCGGGCACUGGUCGUUCACCUCACACUCUACAGAUCAAGACCCUUGCACGAGAAAUUCCAGCGUUGAGAAACGGUUACUUGACUCAAAUGUGUCAGUGAGUCAGACUCCAGUCACCACAGCACAGUAAAGAGUUCCUUACUGUUGGUAUUAUGCAGCUUUGGAUCUCCUCUGAUAUCCACUGGUUGAUGUCAACACUGUCCCUGCCAGGCUGGUACUUCUCUGCUGAGCUGCCUCCCCUGCCUCCCUGUGAGGACUGAGAGACUGGGCAUACCUCGUCAGGGAAAUCUUCACAUCCUUUCAGCAAUGCCUUGUAGCAGAUUGGCAGCCUCCAAGACACUUUUCCUGAUGCCUGGAGGGACACCUGUGCUGCCACAGUACAGGAAGUUGAGGAUGCAAUGCAGGGCUUCUGGCACCACAUGAGGGAUGGUGAUGUCAACACAAGCAUCACGGUGUUCCAGAUUCAACAUUGUUCUCUCCAUGGACUUUAUAUGACCACUCAGCACAUCACUAACACCUUGCAAGCACCUCACGUUCUACACCAGACUCCAGUAGCAUAAGGUGUGGAGGAGCUAGCAAAAUGGACCAAGCUGGAAGUGUUGCAAAAGCUGACUAGUGCUGAAGGAGAACUGUGCAGGAUGCAUGGUUUAUUAUCUAUGCAAGAGGAGAAGCUGGUGGUGGGAUAAGUGCUGAGUUUAAUGUCAUUGUGGGUAGGUGUGCUCAAACAUCCUUGGUGUCCAGAGAGAACAUUUAUUAUGUACUAAUUUGUUUUGUUAAAGAAAACACUACUUUGUAAAAUAAAAUUACUUGGUGUAAAACACAGUACAGUGUUGUACUAAGUUUGUUAAAAAAACACUCUGAAGGCUCUCUGGAGAUUAUGUAGUAAUGUUAGCAGCUAUUAAAUAAAAAUAACUCAUUCCCUUUA